AUCAUGUUUGCUGUAACCUUUCUUUUAUCGUUCGUAAAAGUGAUUAGAUAAAGAGUUAAGGGGGGGGGAGGAGUUGAAUUCAAUAGUUGAAUUCAACACUCGUACCUGUAGUUCUCAGUACCUCCAAAAGAUUUUUUGCAAAUACCUUUUGCAACAAUGGAUAAUUCCAAGUCUGAGGAAAAGGAGUCGUCGAAGAAAGAUGAAGCAAUUAGAAAUGCAGCCACUGUUGGAUUUACAACCUUAAUUGGUGGCUCAAUUGGUGGUCCAGUGGGAGCGUUAGCUGGAGCUAUCGGAGCCGCACUAAUCAUAAGUGUACCUAAGGAAACUGUCAAAGAAAAAGAAAAAACUGCUGAGUUAGAGUAGACUCCAAAAGCGAUGGAUACUAUCAAAAUAAGCUCGAAAAAAACAAAUUAUGAUUUGAGCUUAUCAACGAAAUAAUCACUGUAGUUUUUAAAUGCCUCUAAUUGAACUGCUCCUAUAAUUUUCAAGUUACAAUCAAUUACAAGUUAAAUCAAUAAAUCAUAUUAAAUGGGAA